rnacentral:lncRNA from 1 species
GGGAUCGGAAUCCUGGUCCACUCCGCAGAGGCCCGAGCGGGCUCGCGAGGGAACGGGUUCUCCGAGUCUGGCCGGCCACAACAACUGGAUUCUCUUUUCUGAUUUUUGCUGCAGCUUCUGCUUUGUAAUCAUACGGACAGUUGUGCUUGUCAGAGUUAACGGUGAAGUCCACAAAACAAAUUUCCACAUCGGCAGUCAAACCUAUACAGCAAGAAAGCAGCAUCUGCAAGAAAGCCCUCACCAGGACCAAAUCAGCUGACACCUCAACCUUGGACUACCCAGCUUCCCGAACUGUGAGUUUAAAGGAAGCAGCUGGCGAGAGGGGAGCCCAGCACACUAUGCAAGAGAGAUGCCUCUAAGAUUUUAUCUGUGGCCACCGACUGGAGCCAUUUGGACCGGGUACAGCAGUGGAAACUCUGUGAUGGUGACAAACAUGGGAAUCACUCUGAUGUGACGCAGUUAAAUUUACACCUUAAAAAAUGGAUGCCAAGACAACAUAAACAAGACCCAGGGACACCAACAGGGUAUGGUGCUGUGCCCCAGAGUCAGGGUCCUGGGUUCUUACCCAGGGAAGUGAGAAAUAAAGAUAACUUUUCCCUGCUCCCUCUCUCCUCCCCUGACACUGAUCUUCCCACCCUGUACCUCCCUCUUCUGCUCCCAAACCCCCACCCAGUGCUCAGUCGCAGACAUCACUGCCUGCAGGGCAUGCACAGUGCAGCCCAUUGCACACAAACUACAAACUCACAGAAGGUGAUGACAAUUUGUGUUUGGGACGUCUGAUUGUGAAAGAGGGAGGACAGCGUACUUGCAGCCACAGAGACUGAAACUGGAACGUGAUGGAACGGGGCUGGAACGUGAUGGAGCUCUGACAUAACAGACGUGUGACUUUGUGUGAAAUGUGCAGAUCCAUGUGGAAUAAAACACAGCCUAGCCUGUG